rnacentral:rRNA from 1 species
GAUGAACGCUGGCGGCGUGCCUAAUACAUGCAAGUCGAGCGAACGGACGAGAAGCUUGCUUCUCUGAUGUUAGCGGCGGACGGGUGAGUAACACGUGGAUAACCUACCUAUAAGACUGGGAUAACUUCGGGAAACCGGAGCUAAUACCGGAUAAUAUUUUGAACCGCAUGGUUCAAAAGUGAAAGACGGUCUUGCUGUCACUUAUAGAUGGAUCCGCGCUGCAUUAGCUAGUUGGUAAGGUAACGGCUUACCAAGGCAACGAUGCAUAGCCGACCUGAGAGGGUGAUCGGCCACACUGGAACUGAGACACGGUCCAGACUCCUACGGGAGGCAGCAGUAGGGAAUCUUCCGCAAUGGGCGAAAGCCUGACGGAGCAACGCCGCGUGAGUGAUGAAGGUCUUCGGAUCGUAAAACUCUGUUAUUAGGGAAGAACAUAUGUGUAAGUAACUGUGCACAUCUUGACGGUACCUAAUCAGAAAGCCACGGCUAACUACGUGCCAGCAGCCGCGGUAAUACGUAGGUGGCAAGCGUUAUCCGGAAUUAUUGGGCGUAAAGCGCGCGUAGGCGGUUUUUUAAGUCCGAUGUGAAAGCCCACGGCUCAACCGUGGAGGGUCAUUGGAAACUGGAAAACUUGAGUGCAGAAGAGGAGGGUGGAAUUCCAUGUGUAGCGGUGAAAUGCGCAGAGAUAUGGAGGAACACCAGUGGCGAAGGCGACUUUCUGGUCUGUAACUGACGCUGAUGUGCGAAAGCGUGGGGAUCAAACAGGAUUAGAUACCCUGGUAGUCCACGCCGUAAUCGAUGAGUGCUAAGUGUUAGGGGGUUUCCGCCCCUUAGUGCUGCAGCUAACGCAUUAAGCACUCCGCCUGGGGAGUACGACCGCAAGGUUGAAACUCAAAGGAAUUGACGGGGACCCGCACAAGCGGUGGAGCAUGUGGUUUAAUUCGAAGCAACGCGAAGAACCUUACCAAAUCUUGACAUCCUUUGACAACUCUAGAGAUAGAGCCUUCCCCUUCGGGGGACAAAGUGACAGGUGGUGCAUGGUUGUCGUCAGCUCGUGUCGUGAGAUGUUGGGUUAAGUCCCGCAACGAGCGCAACCCUUAAGCUUAGUUGCCAUCAUUAAGUUGGGCACUCUAAGUUGACUGCCGGUGACAAACCGGAGGAAGGUGGGGAUGACGUCAAAUCAUCAUGCCCCUUAUGAUUUGGGCUACGCACGUGCUACAAUGGACAAUACAAAGGGCAGCGAAACCGCGAGGUCAAGCAAAUCCCAUAAAGUUGUUCUCAGUUCGGAUUGUAGUCUGCAACUCGACUACAUGAAGCUGGAAUCGCUAGUAAUCGUAGAUCAGCAUGCUACGGUGAAUACGUUCCCGGGUCU